rnacentral:rRNA from 1 species
CCUACGGGGUGCAGCAGUCGAGAAUCAUUCACAAUGGGGGAAACCCUGAUGGUGCGACGCCGCGUGGGGGAAUGAAGGUCUUCGGAUUGUAAACCCCUGUCAUGUGGGAGCAAAUUAAAAAGAUAGUACCACACGAGGAAGAGACGGCUAACUCUGUGCCAGCAGCCGCGGUAAUACAGAGGUCUCAAGCGUUGUUCGGAAUCACUGGGCGUAAAGCGUGCGUAGGCUGUUUCGUAAGUCGUGUGUGAAAGGCGCGGGCUCAACCCGCGGACGGCACAUGAUACUGCGAGACUAGAGUAAUGGAGGGGGAACCGGAAUUCUCGGUGUAGCAGUGAAAUGCGUAGAUAUCGAGAGGAACACUCGUGGCGAAGGCGGGUUCCUGGACAUUAACUGACGCUGAGGCACGAAGGCCAGGGGAGCGAAAGGGAUUAGAUACCCUGGUAGUC